rnacentral:rRNA from 1 species
UACGGAGGGUGCAAGCGUUACCCGGAAUCACUGGGCGUAAAGGGCGUGUAGGCGGGAUGUUAAGUCUGACUUUAAAGACCAUGGCUCAACCAUGGGAGUGGGCUGGAUACUGGCAUUCUAGACGACUGGAGAGGCGAUUGGAAUUACUGGUGUAGCGGUGGAAUGCGUAGAUACCAGUAGGAACGUCAAUGGCGAAGGCAGGUCGCUGGACAGUUUGUGACGCUGAGGCGCGAAAGUGUGGGGAGCAAACCGG